AUUGAACGCUGGCGGCAGGCCUAACACAUGCAAGUCGAACGGUAACAGGAAGCAGCUUGCUUCUUUUCUUACGAGUGGCGGACGGGUGAGUCAUGUCUGGGAAACUUCCUGCUGGAGGGGGUUAACUACUGGAAACGGUUGCUAAUACCUCAUAACUUCGCAAGCCCAAUGUUGGUGACCUUCUGUCCUUUUUCCUUCGUCUGUGCCCAGAUUGGAUUAGCUAGUAGGUUGGGUAACGUCUCACCUAGGCUACGAUCCCUAGCUGGUCUGAGAGGAUGACCAGCCACACUGGAACUGAGACACGGUCCAGACUCCUACGGGAGGCAGCAGUGGGGAAUAGUGCACAAUGGGCGAAAGCCUGAUGCAGCCAUGCCGCGUGUAUGAAGAAGGACUUCGGGUUGUAAAGUACUUUCAGCGGGGAGGAAGGGAGUAAAGAUAAUACCUUGGCGCAUUGACGUUAACCGCAGAAGAAGCACCGGCUAACUCCGUG
rnacentral:rRNA from 1 species